rnacentral:rRNA from 1 species
UACAGAGGUCUCAAGCGUUGUUCGGAUUCAUUGGGCGUAAAGGGUGCGUAGGCGGCGCGGUAAGUCGGGUGUGAAAUCUCGGGGCUUAACUCCGAAACUGCAUUCGAUACUGCCGUGCUUGAGGACUGGAGAGGAGACUGGAAUUUACGGUGUAGCAGUGAAAUGCGUGGAUAUCGAGAAGAACACUUAGGGCGAAGGCAAGACUCUGGACAAAUGCUGACGCUCAUGCACGAAGGCUAGGGUAGCGAACGGG